UGGAUGGCAGCCAGUUCAGGGUGUACCCCGCCUCCUGCCCGAAGACAGCUGGGAUAGGCUCCAGCACGCCCGCGACCCUAGUGAGGAGAAGCAGCUCAGAAAAUGGAUGGAUGGAUGGAUGCUACUGGCGUACGACCAACGAUAUGAUAACCCCGAAGCAAAACCUGGGCCAGAACAGAACCAUAUCCGCGUUGACUGUCAGAACCGACUCACCCCUGGCCGUUUCUGUCGCCCCUCGCUCGGGUUGUGCCGCUACCCUUCCCGCUCUCCUCUUCCCUCCGUUUCGAUGACGAUAGAUGCGGAUGGAGAGAAAGCUGUUUCCUGGCGGGAGGAAGAUGGGGGGCGACGAGGCUCGCUUUUGAUGGCCGCAGUUGGUCGCUCAGUAGCAGGGAGUGUUCAGCGGAGAAGCGCUUUGUGACGAGUCGCAGCUCCGCCUGAAAUAGUCGCUAUUAUUGUGGCUCAGAGAUGAAGUAUUUAUCUUGGGCUUUCACGGCGCAAAUUGAAAUUCAUCCCUUUUAUGGAUAGAACGGGCGACCGCGUUGUUCUGUUGGGGAUGUUUCGUGUUAAGAAGUGCUUACUGAGUGAUGGUCGUUUCAAUGUCGUUACGUAACCAUUUAAUGUAUAUGUAGCUCCUGACAUGUACAACAGCCUGUUUUUCAACCACUCACUAUCUGAAUGUAAUCUGCUAUCUGUACUCUGCUGUUAUAACCACUGACGUAUGUCACAGUGUCACCAUAGCCUGUUGAAAUAUUUAUGAAAAAUCAUAAACCAUUUACUAAACAA